rnacentral:rRNA from 1 species
UACGUAGGGGGCUAGCGUUGUCCGGAUUUAUUGGGCGUAAAGAGCGUGUAGGCGGCCAGGUAGGUCUGCUGUGAAAACUCGGGGCUCAACCUCGAGACGUCGGCGGAAACCAUCUGGCUAGAGUCCGGAAGAGGAGAGUGGAAUUCCUGGUGUAGCGGUGAAAUGCGCAGAUAUCAGGAAGAACACCCGUGGCGAAGGCGGCUCUCUGGGACGGUACUGACGCUGAGACGCGAAAGCGUGGGGAGCGAACAGG